GUGCUUACUUCAGCAGCAGAUAUAUUAAAAUUGGAACAAUACAGAGAAGCUUAUCAUGGCCCCUGCACAAUGAUGUCACACAGAUUCAUGAAGCAUUCCAUUUCUUU
rnacentral:snRNA from 1 species